CACCUCUCAAAGUUAACUCUUUGGCGUUGGGCAAUGCCUAGAGGCAUGCCUCAAAAUCAGCGAUGGUGAUAUUCAACCACAGGCGCACACACGUCGUCUAGCUGGCGGGAUGUUGUCAGUCAAUUGAUGAAUUUCUCAA
rnacentral:misc_RNA from 1 species